ensembl:lncRNA
CUCUCUACCUCUGCCUCUCUCUGCCUGUGUCUCUCUCUCAGUGAGCGAACAUUCAGUCUCUCUCUUACUCUCUGAGUCGUCAGGUUGAAUUUCUCUCUUCUUUUUCCCUUGUUAUGACCCAUUUGAGGAGCACCUUCCAUAGAGACAGACACACCAAGAUGAACGGUGAGCUGAGAGCUGUUCGCACCACUACAGGCAAGAGAGGAAGCAGCGAUCAUGACAGGGUUUUUGAUUAUCAGCGCGUCCCCUCUUCAGUCCCAGUGGAUCCCAUUCCUGUCAAAAGGCCACGCCCUUCAUCUUCCUCCUCUUCCUCAUCAUCUUCCUCCACAGUGGCUCUGAGGAUGAAGAACAGUAGAGCGACCAACAGGAACAACAAGACACACACCUCUGCGUCUGGCAGCAGCAAUGUUAAAUUGAAGAUGGCAGAGCUUCUUGCCAUAAAGAGUGAGCUGACAGUGAUCAAGGUUCAGAUUGAUGGCCUGUUGGACUGCGUAGACAAGAUGGACAGACAGCGGAAGGACUGUUCAGAGUGUCCUCAGAGCAGGGAGUCCAGUGUGUUGAACUCUCCUCACCAAGGUUCAGUCUGCAGUGUGGAGAGAGAGAGUCCUGAACCAGGAGAGGCCAGUGCAGAUGAGUCACUGCACUACCAGGACUACUACCCCCACAGCUACUCCCACAGGCUGCAGCAUCACACAGCAGGACAAUCCUUGUUGUCUCCAAACUCAGAGAGACAAUUUACACAG